AAACUAACAAGGAUUCCCCUAGUAACGGCGAGUGAAGCGGGAUGAGCUCAAGCUUAAAAUCUCUGUGCAAGUUUUGCAUGGCGAAUUGUAGUCUAUAGAGGCGAUGUCAGUGCAGCUAUUUGGGGUAAGUUCCUUGGAAGAGGACAGCAUCGAGGGUGAUACUCCCGUUUGUACCCGAGUAGCUUGUGCGUACGACACGUUUUCUUUGAGUCGCGUUGUUUGGGAAUGCAGCGCAAAGUAGGUGGUAAAUUCCAUCUAAAGCUAAAUAUUGGUGCGAGACCGAUAGCGAACAAGUACCGUGAGGGAAAGAUGAAAAGAACUUUGAAAAGAGAGUUAAAGAGUACCUGAAACUGCUGAAAGGGAAUCGAAUCGUUUCCAGUGUCUAUAAUCCAAUGCAUAUUUCAUUGUCGACUUGUUGCGUGCAGUGCGUAGGAAGUAGUUUAUUCUGCUCCUUGUAUUGUUGUGCGAUGUGUUGAUGGUGCCCUGUGUGUUGGUGGGACGUCAGAGUCAGUUCGUAUGCUGCGGGAAAUGGCUGCUGAGGAGGUAGGCUGAGCGCUUGCGUUUAGCUGUUAUAUCUUGGCGUGCUAGUGGUCGUGGUUGGGACUGAGGUGCCUACAACGUGCUUUAAAGUCUUGUGGGGUCUCAUGUGAUAACGUGCUAGGAUAGCUUGCUAUGUUGGUGUGUUUAUUGUGUGAUUGAUGCUGCUUGUAACUUUUGCCGUUCGGGACUUUGACGAAAUGGAGCGAUUCGGC
rnacentral:rRNA from 1 species